rnacentral:rRNA from 1 species
AUUGAACGCUGGCGGCAGGCCUAACACAUGCAAGUCGAGCGGAUGAGGAGAGCUUGCUCUCUGAUUUAGCGGCGGACGGGUGAGUAAUGCUUAGGAAUCUGCCUAUUAGUGGGGGACAACAUUCCGAAAGGAAUGCUAAUACCGCAUACGCCCUACGGGGGAAAGCAGGGGAUCUUCGGACCUUGCGCUAAUAGAUGAGCCUAAGUCGGAUUAGCUAGUUGGUGGGGUAAAGGCCUACCAAGGCGACGAUCUGUAGCGGGUCUGAGAGGAUGAUCCGCCACACUGGGACUGAGACACGGCCCAGACUCCUACGGGAGGCAGCAGUGGGGAAUAUUGGACAAUGGGCGGAAGCCUGAUCCAGCCAUGCCGCGUGUGUGAAGAAGGCCUUUUGAUUGUAAAGCACUUUAAGCGAGGAGGAGGCUACCUGGAUUAAUACUCUAGGAUAGUGGACGUUACUCGCAGAAUAAGCACCGGCUAACUCUGUGCCAGCAGCCGCAGUAACAC